rnacentral:sRNA from 17 species
GGAAGCCGGUGGGAAACCGGCACGGUCGCGCCACUGUGUGCGACGGCUCCCCGGAGCCGCUCGCGAGUCAGAC